GUCUCUAUGGAGACAUCCAAUAAAAUUGGAAUGAUACAAAAAAUAGUAGCAUGGCCCCUACACAAGGAUGACACACACAAAUCGAUAAAUGGUCCAAAUUUAA
rnacentral:snRNA from 1 species